rnacentral:lncRNA from 1 species
CAUAAUAUAUCUCAUUUGAACAGCUUCCCUUUUUCCCUUGUUCGUGCCUGAGCCUUCAGGUUGCUAAUACAUAACUAAAAACAUUUAAUUUAAGCAAGGGUGAGCAUUUGAGUGCCCAACAAGUAAUAGCAAUUAUAUAUAUAAGCUGAAAGAAUAUAAAUAUUCUCCUUACAUAACACUUUUACAACAAAUUGAAAGUUGUGAAGUAAUUUGUACUGAUAAAAAAUUCACAUAACAACUCUCUUUCAAAUUCAUUAAAUUUGGCUCUGGCUCUACCCUUGAAUAGGGUUUAAGAAACAUACUAUGAACAUUCUUUUCAUUUUCGAAAAGGUUUAGCAGAAAUCCAUUCGCAAACCGUCACAACUUACGGGCACGGAGGGUGAUCAGCCCCGUUGUACCUUGCAUUGAUCAAUACUACAUAACUUGAACGAAAUUCAUCGCUCACUUUAUCCGCCACGGGCGCAAAAUUUUCCCAUAUAGGGAUGUUCAUACAUGUCUGGUUCCAAACCCGAAGGUUUUUAAUCUUGCUCAACAAUAAUAUGUAAUUCAACAUAUAUAUACGGGUAAUUGACAAAGGUGUAUCAACAUGUGAAUAAAUGCCAUGAUUAUCCAAGUGGGGACACUUGUAUAACCAUUUAGAAAUUAACGAACAGAAAAUAUAUCUGAAUUAACAUGUUGAUAAUCAAAGCAUACAUAAUCUUUACAGGAAUAGAAAAGAAUUCUGAAACUUCUUACUCAUGUCCAUUGCAUAAAGGAAAUGCAAAGGUAGGAUACUUGCCUGAUUCGCUGAUUACAAAUCUCAACUUAGGUUUUAUCUCUUUAUCACAACCUAUCAAUAAUCAGAUCAUUCGUUCGAUUAGAACAAUAUAUCUUAACACAUAGUACUGUCUAUUACAGUCAGCACAUAGUCUAAUCACAUAAUCACAGUGAUCAUACUUUUAGUUCCUAUUCUAUACUUGAAAUAUUUUUAUACAUUUUUCAAAUAUCUCAUCCAUGCUCUUACAGUAGUCUUUUCUUUCUUUUAUAAGGUCUGACAUUUGUCGGCGUACCGACAGCUUUAUCGGGUAAAUACUGAGUCUAAGACUCUUAUUCUAUACCUCAACAUCUGUAAAUAUCAGACAUCUUAUUUUUAAUCAUUUUCGCAAUUUCCAGAAAUUGAAAAAUUUAAAAUAAUUCAAAUCUGUCACUAAAGGGCCUAUAGUGAUAUAACUGUUACUAUAGGUGUUCUUCUUCAAAUUCAGAACUUCAUAAUCGGUUCUCAAGUCAGCUAGUUUGGCCGGCUAUAACUUUCAAAUAUCGGAAUCAUAAUUAAAUGAUUUAAACAUUAAACAAUUCCAUUAUCAUUAAUAGUUUAAUUAAUACUAAACUAUUAAUGAAACCAUUGCCAAAAUAUAAAAGUUAUUUAUAAUAACUCAAACUAUUUUUAAAACAUUUAUAUUACCCAAAUAAUUACCAUUAAUAUUUAAAUAUUAAUGUACUAUUUAUCCAAAUAUUAAAAGUCAUUAAUUAUAACUUAAAAUAUUUUUAAAUCCUUAAUAUCCUCUUUAAAUGGUUUUUAAAUAAGUAAAACCAUUUUUAAACUAUUUAUUUAAUAUUAAUCAUUAAAUAAACUAAAUAUCAUUAAUAUUAUCUUAAUAUCAUUAAUAUUUAAUUAUUAAUGAAAUUAUCAUUUAAAUAUUAAAAGUUAUAUUUUAUAACUUAAAAUAUUUUUAAAUACCUUAUUUUCAUUUAAAAUGAUUUUUAUAAUAUUAAAAUCAUUUUUAAACUAAAUUAUUUAAUAUAAUCAUUAAAUAACUUUAAUAUCAUUAAUAAUUAUUAAUUAAUGAAAUUCAUCACAAAAUAUUAAAAGUCAUCACAAAUAACUCAUUUACAUAAUCAAUUCCAAGCCAAAAUAAACAUAGUAAACUAACUAGUUUAUUAACAAUACUAACUAAACUUCAAAAAUUCAAACUUAACUAACAAUUAAACAUAAUAACAUUACAAAAAUUAAAUAAGAAACAUACCCGAAAAUACGAAUUCCACAAACUGAAUACGUACUUCCACGCCAAAAUUUAACUAAGGAGAUCUUUAUAAAAAGUCCUCCUACAACAAAGCCUUUCUCAAAAAUUGGAGGCC